GCUGGAUUGCUGCAGUCUCCUGGCUCAGCUUCUUCUUUGCCUCCAGGACAGGGUUCUCAAACUGGGUUUUCUGAUUGAUGUGGCUGUAACAUAAAGAGGUUCAGGUCACUGCAAUGUUACCUGCAGAGUUUCAUUUUGCCACCCACCGAUAAACAAUGUGAAAAUCCUGAUCAAAAUCUUCAAGUGUUCUCCAGGCAAGCCAUUGACCAGUGGUGGCCGCUCGUCAUCAUCCUCCUCCUCAGGUACAGCGCUGUCCUUCCUGUCCAUCUUACUGACUGAGGUUGUACGUUUCCUGGGGACCUCGCCACCAAAGUCCUCAUCAAACAACACCUGAUCCACCAAGUCAGGCUGCACCAGUAUGUCUUUUGCUCUGCCUCCCUCCCCACCAGCAGAUGGCCGCCCCUCCCUGAGCCUGGUUCUGCUGGAGGUUUCUUCCUCUUAAAAGGGAGUUUUUCCUUCCCACUGUUGCCGAGUGCUUGCUUACAGUGGAUCGUCUUGUUUGAUUGUUGGGGUUUUCUCUGUAUUAUUGUAGGGUUUUUACCAUACAAUAUGAAGUGCAUUGAAGGGUUUUGUUAUGCAUACAGAUGGUGCAAAAUACAGCUGCUCGCAUUUUAACAAGAACUGGGAAAUUUGAGCACAUUACCCCUGUACUGAGAUCUCUUCAUUGGCUACCUUGUCAGGUUUGAGCAGAUUUUAAGGUCCUGCUGCUCACCUACAAGGCUUUAAAUGGAUUGGCACCUUCAUACCUCUCCGACCUUUUACACCUUUAUGUUCCAUCUCGUGCUCUACGAUCUCAGGACUCUGGCCUUCUAAAGAUUCCAAAGCCAGAAAAAAAGACAAUUGGAGAGUGUGCUUUUUCUUUUCAUGCCCCAUUUUUGUGGAACCUCCUCCUUCAAGAUAUUAGGCAGGCAUGCUCUGUGGAGGUUUUUAAAACUAAGUUGAAGACACAUUUGUUUACCCUAUCCUACAUGUCUUAACUCUUUACCUUCUUUUUUUAAA